rnacentral:misc_RNA from 2 species
AUGAAUUUUGGAGUUCUACUGUGCCUGCCGUUCAUUCGGAUGUGUGCACGUAGUCUCUAUAAAUCCUUAUCAACACCUGUGCACCUUUAAAAAGGGGGGAGUCUGAUUAAGCAUUUUAUGAUGCUUAUGACGAAUAACCUCUUUUCUUAUACAAACUCUUUUAAUGUCUAUUAGAAUGUUCUCUGGCCGCAAGGCUAUAAAAUAUAAA